rnacentral:rRNA from 1 species
GGGUUGUGAGGUUAAGCGACUAAGCGUACACGGUGGAUGCCCUGGCAGUCAGAGGCGAUGAAGGACGUGCUAAUCUGCGAUAAGCGUCGGUAAGGUGAUAUGAACCGUUAUAACCGGCGAUUUCCGAAUGGGGAAACCCAGUGUGAUUCGUCACACUAUCAUUAACUGAAUCCAUAGGUUAAUGAGGCGAACCGGGGGAACUGAAACAUCUAAGUACCCCGAGGAAAAGAAAUCAACCGAGAUUCCCCCAGUAGCGGCGAGCGAACGGGGAGGAGCCCAGAGCCUGAAUCAGUGUGUGUGUUAGUGGAAGCGUCUGGAAAGGCGCGCGAUACAGGGUGACAGCCCCGUACACAAAAAUGCACAUACUGUGAGCUCGAUGAGUAGGGCGGGACACGUGGUAUCCUGUCUGAAUAUGGGGGGACCAUCCUCCAAGGCUAAAUACUCCUGACUGACCGAUAGUGAACCAGUACCGUGAGGGAAAGGCGAAAAGAACCCCGGCGAGGGGAGUGAAAAAGAACCUGAAACCGUGUACGUACAAGCAGUGGGAGCCUCUUAAUGGGGUGACUGCGUACCUUUUGUAUAAUGGGUCAGCGACUUAUAUUCUGUAGCAAGGUUAACCGAAUAGGGGAGCCGAAGGGAAACCGAGUCUUAACUGGGCGUUAAGUUGCAGGGUAUAGACCCGAAACCCGGUGAUCUAGCCAUGGGCAGGUUGAAGGUUGGGUAACACUAACUGGAGGACCGAACCGACUAAUGUUGAAAAAUUAGCGGAUGACUUGUGGCUGGGGGUGAAAGGCCAAUCAAACCGGGAGAUAGCUGGUUCUCCCCGAAAGCUAUUUAGGUAGCGCCUCGUGAAUUCAUCUCCGGGGGUAGAGCACUGUUUCGGCAAGGGGGUCAUCCCGACUUACCAACCCGAUGCAAACUGCGAAUACCGGAGAAUGUUAUCACGGGAGACACACGGCGGGUGCUAACGUCCGUCGUGAAGAGGGAAACAACCCAGACCGCCAGCUAAGGUCCCAAAGUCAUGGUUAAGUGGGAAACGAUGUGGGAAGGCCCAGACAGCCAGGAUGUUGGCUUAGAAGCAGCCAUCAUUUAAAGAAAGCGUAAUAGCUCACUGGUCGAGUCGGCCUGCGCGGAAGAUGUAACGGGGCUAAACCAUGCACCGAAGCUGCGGCAGCGACACUAUGUGUUGUUGGGUAGGGGAGCGUUCUGUAAGCCUGUGAAGGUGUACUGUGAGGUAUGCUGGAGGUAUCAGAAGUGCGAAUGCUGACAUAAGUAACGAUAAAGCGGGUGAAAAGCCCGCUCGCCGGAAGACCAAGGGUUCCUGUCCAACGUUAAUCGGGGCAGGGUGAGUCGACCCCUAAGGCGAGGCCGAAAGGCGUAGUCGAUGGGAAACAGGUUAAUAUUCCUGUACUUGGUGUUACUGCGAAGGGGGGACGGAGAAGGCUAUGUUGGCCGGGCGACGGUUGUCCCGGUUUAAGCGUGUAGGCUGGUUUUCCAGGCAAAUCCGGAAAAUCAAGGCUGAGGCGUGAUGACGAGGCACUACGGUGCUGAAGCAACAAAUGCCCUGCUUCCAGGAAAAGCCUCUAAGCAUCAGGUAACAUCAAAUCGUACCCCAAACCGACACAGGUGGUCAGGUAGAGAAUACCAAGGCGCUUGAGAGAACUCGGGUGAAGGAACUAGGCAAAAUGGUGCCGUAACUUCGGGAGAAGGCACGCUGAUAUGUAGGUGAAGUCCCUCGCGGAUGGAGCUGAAAUCAGUCGAAGAUACCAGCUGGCUGCAACUGUUUAUUAAAAACACAGCACUGUGCAAACACGAAAGUGGACGUAUACGGUGUGACGCCUGCCCGGUGCCGGAAGGUUAAUUGAUGGGGUUAGCGGUAACGCGAAGCUCUUGAUCGAAGCCCCGGUAAACGGCGGCCGUAACUAUAACGGUCCUAAGGUAGCGAAAUUCCUUGUCGGGUAAGUUCCGACCUGCACGAAUGGCGUAAUGAUGGCCAGGCUGUCUCCACCCGAGACUCAGUGAAAUUGAACUCGCUGUGAAGAUGCAGUGUACCCGCGGCAAGACGGAAAGACCCCGUGAACCUUUACUAUAGCUUGACACUGAACAUUGAGCCUUGAUGUGUAGGAUAGGUGGGAGGCUUUGAAGUGUGGACGCCAGUCUGCAUGGAGCCGGCCUUGAAAUACCACCCUUUAAUGUUUGAUGUUCUAACGUUGGCCCCUGAUCGGGGUUGCGGACAGUGUCUGGUGGGUAGUUUGACUGGGGCGGUCUCCUCCUAAAGAGUAACGGAGGAGCACGAAGGUUGGCUAAUCCUGGUCGGACAUCAGGAGGUUAGUGCAAUGGCAUAAGCCAGCUUGACUGCGAGCGUGACGGCGCGAGCAGGUGCGAAAGCAGGUCAUAGUGAUCCGGUGGUUCUGAAUGGAAGGGCCAUCGCUCAACGGAUAAAAGGUACUCCGGGGAUAACAGGCUGAUACCGCCCAAGAGUUCAUAUCGACGGCGGUGUUUGGCACCUCGAUGUCGGCUCAUCACAUCCUGGGGCUGAAGUAGGUCCCAAGGGUAUGGCUGUUCGCCAUUUAAAGUGGUACGCGAGCUGGGUUUAGAACGUCGUGAGACAGUUCGGUCCCUAUCUGCCGUGGGCGCUGGAGAACUGAGGGGGGCUGCUCCUAGUACGAGAGGACCGGAGUGGACGCAUCACUGGUGUUCGGGUUGUCAUGCCAAUGGCACUGCCCGGUAGCUAAAUGCGGAAGAGAUAAGUGCUGAAAGCAUCUAAGCACGAAACUUGCCCCGAGAUGAGUUCUCCCUGACUCUUUAAGGGUCCUGAAGGAACGUUGAAGACGACGACGUUGAUAGGCCGGGUGUGUAAGCGCAGCGAUGCGUUGAGCUAACCGGUACUAAUGAACCGUGAGGCUUAACCUUACAACGCCGAAGGUGUUU